CUACGGGGCGCUCCAGUUAGGAAUCUUCUACAAUGCGCGCAAGCGUGAUAGAGUGAGCCAGAGUGCUUUUCAAUUUGAAAAGCUUUUGCCAAAUGUAAAAAGUUUGGCGAAUAAGGACUGGGUAAGAUUAGUGCCAGCCGCCGCGGUAAUACUAGCGGUCCAAGUCGCAGCCAUUUUUAUUGGGUCUAAAACAUCCGUAGCUUGCUUAAUAAGUUCUCUGUGAAAUCCUAUCUCUCAAAGAUGGGGCGUGCUAGGAAUACUGUUAAGCUAGAGACUGGAAGACGUAAGAAGUAUGUUCAAAGUAGCGGUAAAAUACUUUAAUCUUGGGCAGACUCACAAUAGCGAAGGCAUCUUACGAGGACAGUUCUGACAGUAAAGGAUGAAGGCCAGGGGCGCAAAACGGAUUAGAUACCCUUGUAGUC
rnacentral:rRNA from 1 species